rnacentral:rRNA from 1 species
UACGUAGGGUGCGAGCGUUAAUCGGAAUUACUGGGCGUAAAGCGUGCGCAGGCGGUUCGUUGUGUCCGAUGUGAAAGCCCCGGGCUUAACCUGGGAAUGGCAUUGGAAACUGGCGAGCUUGAGUGCGGCAGAGGGGGGUGGAAUUCCGCGUGUAGCAGUGAAAUGCGUAGAGAUGUGGAGGAACACCGAUGGCGAAGGCAGCCCCCUGGGCUGAGAUUGACGCUGAGGGCACGAAAGCGUGGGGAGCAAACAGG